rnacentral:sRNA from 1 species
UUACAACCGCUCAGAACAGGGUUUAAGUAUGGAAACAUCACCUUGCAUGGCGAGUCUUAA